rnacentral:rRNA from 1 species
UACGGGGGGGAGCAAGCGUUGUUCGGAUUUACUGGGCGUAAAGGGCGCGUAGGCGGCCACCGCAAGUCGACUGUGAAAUCUCCGGGCUUAACCCGGAAAGGUCAGCCGAUACUGCGGGGCUAGAGUGCAGAAGGGGCAACUGGAAUUCUCGGUGUAGCGGUGAAAUGCGUAGAUAUCGAGAGGAACACCUGCGGCGAAGGCGGGUUGCUGGGCUGACACUGACGCUGAUGCGCGAAAGCUAGGGGAGCAAACAGG